GUGUGCUCACAAGAGAGAGAGAGAGCGCGGCAGGUUCCAACUGGCUUGUCAUUGUUGAUAAUUGAUAUCUCCUUUUUAUAAGAAACUUU